GACGAACGCUGGCGGCGUGCUUAACACAUGCAAGUCGAACGGAAAGGCCCUGCUUUUGUGGGGUGCUCGAGUGGCGGACGGGUGAGCAACACGUGAGUAACCUGCCCUUGACUUUGGGAUAACUUCAGGAAACUGGGGCUAAUACCGGAUAGGAGCUCCUGCUGCAUGGUGGGGGUUGGAAAGUUUCGGCGGUUGGGGAUGGACUCGCGGCUUAUCAGCUUGUUGGUGGGGUAGUGGCUUACCAAGGCUUUGACGGGUAGCCGGCCUGAGAGGGUGACCGGCCACAUUGGGACUGAGAUACGGCCCAGACUCCUACGGGAGGCAGCAGUGGGGAAUAUUGCACAAUGGGCGGAAGCCUGAUGCAGCAACGCCGCGUGCGGGAUGACGGCCUUCGGGUUGUAAACCGCUUUCGCCUGUGACGAAGCGUGAGUGACGGUAAUGGGUAAAGAAGCACCGGCUAACUACGUG
rnacentral:rRNA from 1 species